rnacentral:misc_RNA from 1 species
UAUAGGCAAGUAAUCCAAAGGGUGAAGUAAAGUGAAGUAGGGCAAUCCAAAAUUCGCCAUUUUUACUUUAGUGAAGGGAGAUUUUAUAAAUUGUCAGGCUGGAGGACGAAGAAUAUUUUGUAAAAAGUGUGUCAUUAGAUUUAAUUUCUCGUAGCGGAGACUGUUAUUUGAAAAAAUCUUAGUAUAAUAGUGUGGUUUUAUUUAUUACUAACGUUUGUAUGUAGUGCUACUUCCCCAUCGUAAAAUUUGCUCGUUGGUGUGUCGCUUUAGCUAAUUCGAUGGCUAUGAUAUCGAAGUUUUAAUCUAACGUGUCGCUUGACGAUCUCCAUAAGAGAUAAUAUCGAGAAAGUGAGGCGACGCCUUUAGAAAUGAGCAGGCCUCAAGGCGGACGCAUUCAAGUCCCGGAUGACCUUAGAGAGAUCCUAUUGGAGUUCACCAUAAGUUACCUGUUGGAGCAGCCGGGGGACGUGAUCAACUACGCGGUCGAGUUCUUCACAAGGUUACAGAACAACAGGACGACGACAAUCGUGCGGGGGCCCACGGCCGGCACUCCCGAUGAGUCCAUAAUAUCAGACGAAGAAGAGCCGCCGAAGGCGCGCUUCAACAACCGGCGCAAGUCCGUGUUCGCCGAGACGUAUGACCCCGAGGAGGAUGACUCCGACGAGGGAGCGCCCGCCGUCUUCCCCAAGUCGGAUGCCCAGCGCGCUCGCCUCGCCGAGGCCGUCCGCGGCAUUCUGCUGUUCCGCUCGCUCGAUGCACAGCAAAUGCAGCAGGUGUUGGACGCAAUGUUCGAGAAGCGUUCGGAGCCCGGCGAGUACGUGAUCCGGCAGGGCGACGACGGAGACAACUUCUACGUCAUCGAGAACGGAGUCUUCGACGUGCUAGUCACCGGCGAUGAUCGCGUCGAGAAGGUGGUGCACACGUACGAAGGCUCGGGCUCGUUCGGCGAGUUGGCGCUGAUGUACAACAUGCCGCGCGCGGCGUCGGUGCGCGCGCAGACGCCCGGCGCGCUGUGGGCCAUGGACCGCCACACCUUCCGCCGCAUCCUGCUCAAGAGCGCCUUCAAGAAGCGCAAGCUGUAUGAAGAGCUGCUCGACAAGGUGCCCAUGCUCAAGGCGCUCCAGCCGUACGAGCGCGCGAACCUGGCGGACGCGCUGCUGCCGCGCACGCUGAUCGACGGCGAGCUGAUCAUCCGGCAGGGCGACACCGCCGACGGCAUGUACUUCGUCGAGGACGGCUCCGUCAGCAUCCGCAUCACGCGCGACGACGGCAACGAGCACGAGAUCAAGCGCCUCGGCAAGGGCGGUUACUUCGGCGAGCUGGCCCUUGUGACCCACAAGCCGCGUGCCGCCUCCGCUUACGCCGUCGGGCCCACUAAGGUGGCAUUCCUGGACGUGGAGACAUUCGAGCGUCUGCUUGGCCCAUGCAUGGAGAUCAUGAAGCGCAACAUCGACGACUACGAGGAACAGCUGGUGAAGUUGUUCGGCGACAAGACCAACCUCACCGACGUGCGAUGAACCGGCACCUCCGCCGCUACCUUCCACACUACGUAAUCUUCCCGCAUCACACUCACCGAGGUGAGGCGUCACGCGUCCGCCGCGUAUUGUCUGUGUGUCCCCCGUGUAACGAAUCCAGUAGUUAAUAGUAUCGUGCAAUAACUGAUUAGUGAUCAGUCAUUACUGUCGUUUAUCUAUGUCAUUUACAUCGGUAUGUGUUAAAAUUUGUCCGUGUGGAAUUUAUUUAUAUAGUUAUAAUCAAAUAAAAAUCAUAGUAUUGUAAGAUAAAUGUAUUUCUCUCUUAACGAUGUUAAGAAUGUGUCUGCAAUACGCGUGUCAUGUUGUAGAGAUGUGGGACUUAGAAAAUUCAGUAUGUCGAAUUUAUACGCAAUAUUUACGAUGUAAUGUGUAGAUUGCACAAAUGUCGCGAGUCACGAGUGCUGAAUGGAGGUUUGGUAAUUCUGUUGUCUUCCACGGGACGCACAGAGGUUUGGUCACUACGUUACAGACGCAUUCAUCGGACCGCUACACUACGCAUUCUCUGGCACACUGAUGUAAAAUUAAAAUUCAAUACGCUUAACUGUAGCGUAAUUUUUUAUAAAUUAUACUAGUCAUUGGUGUCUAAUGUAGAUUUGUAACCUGACAGCACAUUGGAGCGGGACAUAGUGAACAUCCCAUCCAUGUUAGGUGUAAGUCAUACUACCUGUCCCAUGUUAACUAAAGCAUAUCAGUGCGGCAGGCUUGCCCGCAUCCGAAUCUAUUUAUACGCACCACACGUGUACAUCCGGUAGCCAGUUGAGAACUAGUACCGCUUUCCCACGUCAUGAGCUUACCCUGUACAUUUAUAAAAAUUAUGUAUCGUAAAAUGUUAGAAAACUGAAUUAUAUUUGUUUGUAGAUCCAAA